ACCUGACUGCUAUCGGAUUGAUACUAAGCCAUGCGAGUCAUUGUAGCAAUACAAGGCAUACGGCUCAGUAACGCGUAGUCAACCUAACCUAUGGACGGGAAUAACCUCGGGAAACUGAGAAUAAUGCCCGAUAGAACACUAUACCUGGAAUGGUUUGUGUUCCAAAUGAUUUAUCGCCAUAGGAUGGGACUGCGGCCUAUCAGUUUGUUGGUGAGGUAAUGGCCCACCAAGACUAUUACAGGUACGGGCUCUGAGAGGAGUAGCCCGGAGAUGGGUACUGAGACACGGACCCAGGCCCUAUGGGGCGCAGCAGGCGAGAAAACUUUGCAAUGUGCGAAAGCACGACAAGGUUAAUCCGAGUGAUUUGUGCUAAACGAAUCUUUUGUUAGUCCUAGAAACACUAACGAAUAAGGGGUGGGCAAGUUCUGGUGUCAGCCGCCGCGGUAAAACCAGCACCUCAAGUGGUCAGGAUGAUUAUUGGGCCUAAAGCAUCCGUAGCCGGCUCUGUAAGUUUUCGGUUAAAUCUGUACGCUUAACGUACAGGCUGCCGGGAAUACUGCAGAGCUAGGGAGUGGGAGAGGUAGACGGUACUCGGUAGGAAGUGGUAAAAUGCUUUGAUCUAUCGAUGACCACCUGUGGCGAAGGCGGUCUACCAGAACACGUCCGACGGUGAGGGAUGAAAGCUGGGGGAGCAAACCGGAUUAGAUACCCGGGUAGUCCCAGCUGUAAACUAUGCAAACUCAGUGAUGCAUUGGCUUGUGGCCAAUGCAGUGCUGCAGGGAAGCCGUUAAGUUUGCCGCCUGGGAAGUACGUACGCAAGUAUGAAACUUAAAGGAAUUGGCGGGGGAGCACCACAAGGGGUGAAGCCUGCGGUUC
rnacentral:rRNA from 2 species